rnacentral:rRNA from 1 species
UACAGGGGGUGCAAACGUUGCUCGGAAUUAUUGGGCGUAAAGCGCGCGUAGGCGGCUACUUAAGUCGGAUGUGAAAGCCCCUGGCUCAACUGGGGAAGUGCACCCGAGACUGAGUGGCUUGAGUGCGAAAGAGGGUCGCGGAAUUCCCGGUGUAGAGGUGAAAUUCGUAGAUAUCGGGAGGAACACCGGUGGCGAAGGCGGCGACCUGGGUCGACACUGACGCUGAGGCGCGAAAGCGUGGGGAGCGAACAGG